rnacentral:rRNA from 1 species
UACAGAGGUCUCAACCGUUGUUCGGAUUCAUUGGGCGUAAAGGGUGCGUAGGUGGCGCUGUAAGUCGGGUGUGAAAUUUCGGAGCUUAACUCCGAAACUGCAUUCGAUACUGCGGUGCUUGAGGACUGGAGAGGAGACUGGAAUUCAUGGUGUAGCGGUGAAAUGCGCAGAUAUCAGGAGGAACACCGGUGGCGAAGGCGGGUCUCUGGGCCGAUACUGACGCUGAGGAGCGAAAGCGUGGGGAGCAAACAGG